rnacentral:rRNA from 1 species
AUGGUGGAUUCCCCCGCUGCUCAUGAGAAGGUGGAGCCGGCGACCUCGCUGCCCGAGGAAUGUCUCAACGUCGCUAUUCUCUGCAAGGCCUUCGUUUCCAAGGUGAUGAAUGGCCUGGGGGCGCUGGCGACCAUUUGGGCGACUGUUGUCCUGCUCGGUGGAUUCGCAGUCCUCAUAAAAAAGCAGGACUUUUGGUACGUCACCAUCGUCGCUCUCGUCGAAUCAAUCGGGAUCUUGGGUGGUCACGAGGAUCCCACAUACCAAAUUUUCAUACGCACACCAGGAUUGCUGCUAGAGGCUAAGAAGGCUGCCGAGCAGGAGCGACAACUCGGUUGGUGGAGAAGAAGAAGAAUCCAUCGUCAUCAUCAACAACAAUCUGGAAGAGCAAGAAGAGAUAGGCUGCAGGGUAGAAUAAAACCCAAACGUUACGAGGAGCUGAAGAUGUACAAAGGCUUGGUGGGGAUGGUCGUCCUUGUCGCCCUGCGGCUGACUGAGAUUGCCGCCAUCGCCACAUGCAUUGUCAUCUCCUCGAGGCGUCUCAAGAGGCAGGACUACGUGGACCCCAAGGACAAGUACGCGGCAGACCACCAGAACAUCAAGCUGUCCCUGAACAUCUUCUACGGGCUGGUGCUCGCCCAGAGCAUCAUCUUCAUCGUCGUGCGGCUGAACCUGGAUUCAUUAUUAGGUUUCCGCGUCAGAUUCUCAUACAGAUUAUUUGGGCCGUCGGGCACAGAAAUAAUGUACCGCUACCUCAGUGACAACUACCUGGAGUUGAUCGCUGGGAAUGUGCGCGCCACCUUCAAGAUGAACCUCAUCACAUUCGCCAAGAAGUUGGUGUUGUCCGACUCCGGCGUCGACGACAAGUUAGUUGGGAUCCGAGCCAUGGACCGCAUCCUCAGAUCAGUGAAGUACAACACCCUGGCCCUCAGGGAGCUUCAAGCUUCCCUUGACGCCGACGCUAUGGGGAAGCUGAUCCAGGUGCUAGGCUUGGUUAGGACACCAGAGGAGAAGGAAAUGAGAGGCCACGCUGCCAGAGUAGUUCUAAAGCUAGCUCCAGAUAUUCCGGUUGACAAUUGUCCUCGAGCUAUGUCUCUCAUCUCUUCUUCCCUGCUCGAGACGGCUGGUAACAUGGAUGUGGACCUCGUCUGGUUCGGCUUGCGGAUCCUAGACAAGCUCACAGACAUCCAACAAAACUGUUGGCGGGCCAAGGACCUCAGUGAUCUACUGCCCAAGAUCAUAGACCUCACCAACCUCAACCAGGGCGGUCACAGGCACGGCAGCAGCAGCAGCAUCUCUGACGCUUGGAUUGAACAAGAGAUUAUUCCUCUGCUUCAAAGAGAAGAGGACAUCCCUCCCACUGCCACACAGAAGAUUGACCAACAGAUUAUUGUUGGCAUGUCACUCAAAAUCUUGAGCAAGCUGGUUGCCACACCUGGUCAUGUCGGGGAGGAGCUCAGGGAAAAAACCUCAGAAUGUAUACACCUCCUGGCCGGGACAAUCUUGGAGCAUGUGGGAGCAGCGAGAGUCAUAGCAUGCCUAGCACUGGACAAAAGGGGAAAGCAAGAGAUUGGGAGAUCACCUGAGAUCAUAAGGAAGCUGAAGGAGUGUCUCCUCUCCAAGGCGCCGCUGGUAGACACCACCAAAGUGGCUGCCAACUUAUUGCUUCUCGAGUACACCACCAGGGAGCAGCUGAAUCAGAUUAAAUUGUCCAUCGAGGAGAAGAAUGUUCUGCUGCAAGAUCCAAGCUUGUCUGUACCGACGACGGUCUUAAUAGAAGCACUUGACCUGGGUCAGGUUAUGUCGCCAUGGGUGCAGUCCAUAGUCGUGCAAGAUCUUGAUCUAGAUGAUCUGCUUUCAGCAAAGCAGGCAAACCUCUGCGAGGAGGCCGCCAAAGCACUAGUUGUGCUAACCAGUGGGUGCAAGACAAAUGCCACGGUGCAACCCAAUGGGUGCAACACAAAUGCUGCAGUGCUAACCAGUGGGUGCGAGACAAAUGUCGUCCUACAAGAGAUCACCGUGCAAGAGAUGGAGACCAUAGUGAGGAUGAUCUUCCCAAAGCCAGAGGACCUUGAGCGAGAGGAGACGAGGAGGAUGCAGGCCGCCACCAGAUUACAAGAACGCAAUCUACACCAAGAAACGUUGCAGGUAGUCAAGAAGAUAAUCUACGCGGAGGGUGGAGGGCACACAAGAAGCCUGCAUGCAAAGCUCCUACAGAAUCUGCGUGCCCAUGGCCAUGCCCAUGGAAAUGCUACUAAGCACAUGCUAGUAAUAGACAGAGCACUGCCAGAGGUGAUGAAAGCCAUAGUUGAUGAAGCGACCAAGUUGGAGCAUCCAGCAUUUAGCAGUGAAAGUUUAGCUCGGGAUGAUGUCCCUUGGGUUGAAGCAGGAAAGGUGCUUGACAGUUUUAUAGGCCUCACUGUCCAGAUUUGCAAAGGCCUGGAUGCAAGUGAUUUUGUCAAAAUACUAGACGGCGUCAGUCUUACUCUGGACACAUUCGUCAUGAAGCUUAAGAAGAUACUAGAACUGUACAAGUAUCCAACUACAGAAUUUCCUAGCAUAAGGCGAUCUACACUUGAACUCAUGAACUGGAUGGUACGAAAGAACAGCAACUACAGAGAAAUAUUCCUGCAAUGUGGAGUGUAUAAGCAGCUGAAAGAAGUGGCAAAGACUGCUAGAAGACUUGAGAGAUUUGAGCUGUUCCACUGCGAUGUUGAGGUUGGUAAUGACGACAUAUCAUCCAUCCAUUGUCUUGUGAGUGACUUACAGAAACAGCUUGAGCUCUGCCCCCAUUUCGAACAAAGCUCACACUACUAUGGGGCACAUGCAGGUGCCAUAACUGUUUUGGUCGCCUAA